ensembl:lncRNA
CCACCAGCAGUGAGCCGGUCUCAGGCGUGUUUUCCAGGUGCUGAAUGAGGAAGAGUGAAGGUGGAUGGAGUAAACAACAGCUUGACACAGGCGUAUCAGUGUAUCUGGCUCUGCUUUAUAGUUAUGCCGUCAUUGCGCACUCUGAUCACACUGUACAUCCUUUUGUUAAUCUAUGUCAUUAAGCCAUCUAGCCAGUCUGGUACUGUUGCAUAUGGUUCUCUAACCUAUCCAUGGCUAGCAUGGCCAUCUGUGUUGAAGUGAAAAUGUUAUUAGAACUGUUAGUGUUUAGUGCUCUGCGAAUACAUGUGACCCCACUUGAUAUGAAUGGAAAGAUCUGAUUCGCAACCAAGCGUCAAGCGUGACAAUUUCAUUUACGAUAUAAUUAUUUCGUCCGCUAAACCAAGCGGACUAUUUUAUAGCUAUUAGAGACGCCAGCUUCGACAGUGAAAGUAAAGCAUGUAUUGUCAGCAUUGUCAACAUAGAAUUUUCUCCACGAAAAAGGCUAAGGUGUACAGGACACUAUUUUCAACAAAAUAACACCAAGGCCGCUUUCAUCCCAUUUCACGGUCUGUCAAACGUCCCAGUCCCUCACGGAGCCGUGUCAAUGCCUGAUAUCAUACAGUUCUUCGUCAACAGGCUACAUGCUGCAAAAGUAGGUGGGCUUUCUGAUCGUAAUCAGUCACACUUCAUAUCACACCACCAUGAUUCGACGAGUUAAGGGUUCCCUUGAGGCACGAUUGAAGAAAAUUUUCCACUCCGCCAUUAAACCCACCGUGUCCCCUUACUUCUAACUCGACAUUCUGAGGUGGCUAGGGACUAACGACUCAAUGUUCUGGAAAUAAAGUAGACUAGAAGGGUGCUCAAAAGAGCAUUAAAAACGAACAGCACAAAAACCAGCGCUAAUUUGUCAUCCUCUGUGUGAAACAGUCAUAAAAUCAGGCACAACCUUGACAGGUUGUUAAUUUUUUAUUCAUGUACUCCAAGCUAUUCAGACUGUACCCCUUUUUUGCAAAUCUGCUUACUCAUGCAUUAAAGAUUACACGCCAAAUUAGAGGCUGACUCAUGUACAAUGCAUCAGUGAUAAUGUGAAUUAAUCCACCUCCCAGACACUAAAUUUUCAUUUAUUAUUCUCACAGAUAGAUGUGGCAUUUUUUAAAAAUUUCUUUGCAAAAACUGUUAGACACUCCAUUCUCCCUGACAUCCCUUUUCUAAAUGGACUUUUUUUUUCCACAAGUAUCAGCAUCUAAAUGGUUUCAAAUGGAGUUUGAGCCUGAGGCAAGCAGCUGUCAGCUCACGAGCGCUGGUGCCAGUCUGGAGCUUUAAAACACAGCCAUUGAAAAGUUACAGCUCCAGUUUGAAGCUUGGCCAAAAUUCAGUCAGUUCCACUGCUAUGGCCAUAAUAGGCUUUAAGCUUCUUCUACUUUCGGAUGCUGCGUGUUCCUCCAGUCCAUUCCUCGUGCACAUCUAAAGCACUUUUCACGAACAUCAAUUACGGCUAAUAUAAAAUCGUAGUAUGUUAAGCGAAAGUGAUUAUAGUGGCCAGUGCUAAAGGUUCUCUAGACCAGAGCUUCUCAAAUUGGGGUCUGUGAAGCACAGCCAGGGGUAUGUGACUUUGUAAUUUAGUUAAAUCGGUAGAAAUCACAAUCGACCAUUAUCCAAGCUAUUAUAUUUAUUAUCGAGUGCUUAUAGUUAUUUACCUAAUUACCUGUUCACCUAAAUUAAAUGGGUUUAAUCCAUCCAAAAAUAAUCAACGGCAGUCCGACAUGAAGCCGAGUUACUCUUACCAGCCUGAAGUUGAUUAUUACCCAAUAAAACAAUGUUCUAUAAACAGACUUUUUUUUUAUCAUGUUGUACUUAUUGUCUGUUUAUAGUUACAUUCAACGAUAUGGAACAUCCGCCAAAACAAGCUCCUGUCAUCACUUACGUUUUAGA